AGCAUCUAAUCAAUCACUGUGGUGUGAAAUGAAUGCAGCUGAUCUCUGAAGUUGCUUCCAUUGGAAUGUAUUCAUCUGUAACAUGUCAAUCUCUGAAUGACAUCACAACAGCUUCCAGUCCUUGAAAGUCUUGAGGUUGAUUAGCUGAAGGAAUUGGCUGUUUCUGCCAAUCAUAAUCGGGUAAAGCUGCCUUUUCUGCUCUGUAGAUAUGAGAGAAAGGGAAAGGGAGACUGACUACAGCUAAACAAGAGGCACAGCAGCAGAAGCAGCACCAGAAGCAGCAGCUGGUAUUCGGGUGAUUAAAUAGUUCUCAUAGCCUUUUUGCUGUUCUCUGACUGCUCCCUGGUGUAAUUCCCAUGUCCAAGAAGGAAGCUGCAUUUUAACGGUGUGGUGAACGGAGGUUUGAAUCAUUCCAGCUGGCGGCUUGUUUUGAAAAGGACAGUAUGUGUAUAAAUAAAAUGUGACUGUGCUGGAAGAGUUCAGUUACUCGUGGCUGGAGCAAGAGGAGUCUUCCUGGGAUACUGCUCACACUGCUGGUAUGAACUGAAAACUCUCUCUAGUUUAUCUGAGCCAAGUGAAGAAAUUUGAAUAGUGGAUGUCUCUUUCCCACACACUAGACAAACUCAAGUGAAAAGAAAAAGGAAGAAAUUCUUCUAUAGUACCUGAGGGACCCAAGAGGAAAAAAAGCUGAGGGGAAAAAAGGAGAAAAUGUAGAUCUACUAAUUGCAUUCUAUUCACCUGGGCUACAGAAGUGGACUAAGAAAUUUAAUAAUGUUAAGCAUCAUCUCCAUUGAUUUUUUGCAAGUGCUGCAUUCAGAGAAGAUCUCUUCCAAUUUAGAUUUCCAGAUACUUUGACUUUGAGCUCUAACAACUUUAUAACCUCCCCAAAGCCCCUCAUAAAUGCAUUGCAAUGGUCACAUGAACAUUUUGGGCGUGGUACCAGCACCAUUUUUUGUCCUCUCUGCUAUGGCACUUUAAGAGGAUAAAGCCAAAAAAGUUUCUUCUUUUAAAUUGAAAGUAUUCCAAAAAAUGAAUCUUAUUGUGAAACUUCGUAGAAGUUUCAGAACACUGGUAAUUCUCUUAACCACCUUCUGUUUAGUAAGCAUAGUCAUUUCCGCCUAUUACUUAUAUACAGGCUACAAGCAGGAGAUGACCCUAGUUGAAGCCACUGGAGAAGCAGAAUGUGAGGGCCUUAAACUUUUACCAUACAGGUCCAUGGAGCUGAAGACUGCUAAGCUGAUGGAUCCAUCUAAUACUGACCCUAUUGUCUUGCUAUUUGUGGAGAGCCAAUACUCCCAGCUUGGACAAGAUAUCAUAGCCAUCCUCGAGUCUAGUCGAUUCCAGUACCAUAUGGUAAUUGCACCUGGAAAAGGUGACAUUCCUCCUCUUAGAGAUAGUGGCAAAGGGAAAUAUAUGCUUGUUAUAUACGAGAAUAUUUUAAAGUAUGUGUCCAUGGACUCAUGGAAUAGAGAGCUCCUGGAAAAAUACUGUGUGGAAUACAGUGUUAGCAUAAUUGGUUUUCACAAAGCCAAUGAGAACAGCUCACCAAGUAUUAAAUUAAAAGGAUUUCCACUAGACCUUUACAAUAAUGUAGCCCUCAAAGAUUGCUUUGUAAACUCUCAAUCUCCUCUACUGCACAUUACCAAAGCACCACGGGUUGAGAAAGGCCCACUACCUGGGGAAGACUGGACGGUUUUCCUAUUUAAUCACUCCACCUACCAACCUGUGCUUUUAACUGAAUUACAGACUUCCAGAUCCUUCCCACCAUCAUUGCCUAAGGCUCCACUGUAUGCUACAGUGAUUCAGGACUUGGGGCUUCAUGAUGGGAUUCAGAGAGUCCUUUUUGGAAACAACUUGACCUUUUGGCUACACAAGUUGAUCUUUCUAGAUGCUGUCUCUUUCCUGACGGGGAAGAAGCUCACAUUGUCCUUGGAUAGGUACAUUCUUGUCGAUAUAGAUGACAUCUUUGUUGGAAAGGAGGGAACAAGGAUGAACAUCCAGGAUGUGAAGGCAUUACUAGAGACUCAAAAUUUACUGCGCACUCAGGUUGCAAAUUUUACCUUCAACCUUGGAUUUUCAGGAAAGUUUUACCACACAGGAACUGAAGAGGAGGAUGAAGGCGAUGACCUGUUGUUGGGGUCUGUGGAUGAGUUCUGGUGGUUUCCUCAUAUGUGGAGUCACAUGCAGCCUCAUCUCUUCCAUAAUGAGUCAUCACUGGUGGAGCAGAUGAUUCUCAACAAGGACUUUGCACUAGAGCAUGGUAUUCCGACUGACAUGGGUUAUGCAGUGGCUCCGCACCACUCCGGGGUCUACCCUGUACAUGUUCAGCUUUAUGAGGCCUGGAAGAAGGUCUGGGGUAUCAAAGUCACAAGCACAGAAGAGUAUCCACAUUUAAAACCUGCACGGUACAGACGGGGCUUCAUCCACAAUGGCAUCAUGGUACUUCCUCGACAGACCUGUGGCCUUUUCACCCACACAAUUUUCUACAAGGAGUAUCCUGGGGGCCCUCAAGAAUUGGACAAAAGCAUCCGAGGAGGUGAACUCUUCCUCACAAUCCUCCUGAAUCCCAUCAGCAUCUUCAUGACCCAUUUGUCCAACUACGGGAAUGACCGCCUGGGGUUAUACACCUUUUUGAAUCUGGCCAACUUUGUUAAGAACUGGACUAACCUAAAACUACAGACUCUGCCUCCAGUUCAACUGGCUUACAAGUACUUUGAACUCUUCCCUGAGCAAAAGGACCCUCUCUGGCAGAAUCCAUGUGACGAUAAACGUCAUAGGGAUAUCUGGUCCAGAGAUAAAACUUGUUACCAUCUUCCAAAAUUUCUUGUGAUUGGACCUCAGAAAACAGGAACAACAGCACUUUAUUUAUUUCUCCUUAUGCAUCCUUCUAUCAUCAGUAAUCUCCCUAAUCCAAAAACUUUUGAAGAAGUUCAGUUCUUCAAUGGAAACAACUAUCACAAGGGAAUUGAUUGGUACAUGGAUUUCUUCCCUACCCCUUCGAAUGUCACCACUGACUUUCUGUUUGAGAAAAGUGCCAACUACUUCCAUUCUCAGGAGGCUCCCAGACGAGCAGCUUCCCUGGUCCCCAAGGCCAAGAUCAUCACCAUUCUCAUUGACCCAUCAGAUCGGGCAUACUCCUGGUAUCAGCACCAGCAAUCUCAUGAGGACCCUGCAGCUUUGAAGUUCAAUUUCUAUGAAGUGAUUACAUCAGACCAUUGGGCUCCCUCAGAGUUAAGAACUCUCCAGAAGAGAUGUCUCAUCCCUGGGUGGUAUGCUACCCAUAUAGAAAGAUGGCUAACUCACUUUCCCACUUCCCAGUUGCUAAUUAUUGAUGGACAGCAGCUAAGAAGUGACCCAGCGACAGUGAUGGAUGAAGUACAGAAGUUUUUGGGAGUCUCACCUCAUUAUAAUUACUCUGAAGCUCUAACGUUUGACCCUCAGAAAGGCUUUUGGUGUCAGCUGCUGGAAGGAGGGAAGACCAAAUGCCUGGGAAAAAGCAAAGGCCGAAAAUACCCACCAAUGGAUCAAGAGUCUAGAGCUUUUCUUUCAAGCUACUACAGAGAUCACAAUGUGGAACUGUCUAAACUACUGCACAGAUUGGGACAACCCCUGCCAUACUGGCUGAGACAGGAGCUUCAGAAAGUGAGAUAGCACUGAUGUUCAGAGGACCAAAGUCUCUAAUGACAGUUACUGGCACCAUAAAACCCCUCGCUUCCCCGACUCACUUGUGAUUGUCAGUACACGACCUCAUGAAUAACUGUCUCAAAAUUAAAUACAAAUAUAAAACUGUUUAUAUAUGCACGCACUGACAGCUAUUAGCAUCAACUCCUUUGUCAGCUUCUGGGACACAAUAUGGAGCUAUGUGGCAUUAUUCUUUAUCCAGCCUGGGACUCAUGCAUAGUCUAGUCCCUCUGUUUACCAGAAAGUUCCAGAAACUGUAUGUAUGAUUGAUAGUCUUCAUCAUAUAUGACAAAUUACAGCCUGUCAGGACACAAGCAAAGAACAGAAACAUCUCUCGGUGGAUUGUGAGAGUAUCCUUUUAAUGCGACUGCUAAGGUGUGGACCUAUCUACCGAUUGGAUCCCCCAUCACUAUCAUAUCUGGAAAAGCUAGCAGAAAAUAAGGAUUUGCAAACAAAGGAAAGUCUUAAGUGUUCAGUGUUCCAGUGA